rnacentral:rRNA from 1 species
UGACGAGUGGCGGACGGGUGAGUAAUGUCUGGGAAACUGCCUGAUGGAGGGGGAUAACUACUGGAAACGGUAGCUAAUACCGCAUAACGUCGCAAGACCAAAGAGGGGGACCUUCGGGCCUCUUGCCAUCAGAUGUGCCCAGAUGGGAUUAGCUAGUAGGUGGGGUAAUGGCUCACCUAGGCGACGAUCCCUAGCUGGUCUGAGAGGAUGACCAGCCACACUGGAACUGAGACACGGUCCAGACUCCUACGGGAGGCAGCAGUGGGGAAUAUUGCACAAUGGGCGCAAGCCUGAUGCAGCCAUGCCGCGUGUAUGAAGAAGGCCUUCGGGUUGUAAAGUACUUUCAGCGGGGAGGAAGGCGAUACGGUUAAUAACCGUGUCGAUUGACGUUACUCGCAGAAGAAGCACCGGCUAACUCCGUGCCAGCAGCCGCGGUAAUACGGAGGGUGCAAGCGUUAAUCGGAAUUACUGGGCGUAAAGCGCACGCAGGCGGUCUGUCAAGUCGGAUGUGAAAUCCCCGGGCUCAACCUGGGAACUGCAUUCGAAACUGACAGGCUAGAGUCUUGUAGAGGGGGGUAGAAUUCCAGGU